rnacentral:rRNA from 1 species
AGCGAACGCUGGCGGCAGGCUUAACACAUGCAAGUCGAACGGGCUUCUUCGGAAGUCAGUGGCAGACGGGUGAGUAACACGUGGGAACGUGCCCUUCGGUUCGGAAUAACUCAGGGAAACUUGAGCUAAUACCGGAUACGCCCUUUUUGGGACAGGUUUCCUGCCGAAGGAUCGGCCCGCGUCUGAUUAGCUUGUUGGUGGGGUAACGGCCUACCAAGGCGACGACCAGUAGAUGGUCUGAGAGGCUGAUCAGCCACACCGGGACUGGGACACGGUCGAGAAUACUACGGGAGGGAGGAGUGGGGAAUAUUGGAAAACGGGGGCGAGGAUGAUCGAGCCAGGGCGGGUGAGUGAUGAAGGUGUGAGGGUUGUAAAGCUCUUUUGUCCGGGACGAUAAUGACGGUACCGGAAGAAUAAGCACCGGCUAACUUCGUG